rnacentral:rRNA from 1 species
AGAGUUUGAUCAUGGCUCAGGAUGAACGCUGGCGGCGUGCUUAACACAUGCAAGUCGAACGGAGUUUUAACGGAAGUUUCGGAUGGAAAUUUAGAAACUUAGUGGCGGACGGGUGAGUAACGCGUGGGUAACCUGCCUCAUACAGGGGGAUAACAGUUAGAAAUGACUGCUAACACCGCAUAACAUAGCGAAACCGCAUGAUUUUGCUAUCAAAUAUUUAUAGGUAUGAGAUGGGCCCGCGUCUGAUUAGCUAGUUGGUGGGGUAAAGCCUACCAAGGCGACGAUCAGUAGCCGGCUUGAGAGAGUGACCGGCCACAUUGGGACUGAGACACGGCCCAAACUCCUACGGGAGGCAGCAGUGGGGAAUAUUGGACAAUGGGGGAAACCCUGAUCCAGCGACGCCCGCGUGAGUGAAGAAGUAUUUCGGUAUGUAAAGCUCUAUCAGCAGGGAAGAUAAUGACAGUACCUGACUAAGAAGCCCCGGCUAACUACGUGCCAGCAGCAGC